rnacentral:rRNA from 1 species
GAUAAACGCUGGCGGCGUGCCUAACACAUGCAAGUCGAACGAUCCCGCAAGGGAGAGUGGCGGAAGGGUGAGUAACACGUGGGAAUCUACCUCCUCGCAGGGAACAACCUCUCGAAAGAGAGGCUAAUACCCAAAAGGGUCAGAAAUGAUCAGAGUCGAAAGGCAUGAGGAGAGGAGCCCGCGGCCCAUCAGCUAGUUGGUGAGGUAAUGGCUUACCAAGGCUACGACGGGUAGGGGAUCUGAGAGGAUGUCCCCCCACACUGGAACUGAAACACGGUCCAGACGCCUACGGGUGGCAGCAGUGAGGAAUAUUGGACAAUGGGCGAAAGCCCGAUCCAGCAACGCCGCGUGGAGGAUGAAGGCCUUCGGGUCGUAAACUUCUUUAGAGGGAGACGAGAAAGGACGGUAUCCCUAGAAUAAGCGACGGCAAACUACGUGCCAGCAGCCGCGGUAAU